AAUCCGGUUGAUCCUGCCGGACCUGACUGCUAUCGGAUUGAUACUAAGCCAUGCGAGUCAUUGUAGUAAUACAAGGCAGACGGCUCAGUAACGCGUAGUCAACCUACCCUAUGGACGUGAAUAACCUCGGGAAACUGAGUAUAAUGCCCGAUAGAACACUAUACCUGGAAUGGUUUGUGUUCCAAAUGAUUUAUCGCCAUAGGAUGGGACUGCGGCCUAUCAGUUUGUUGGUGAGGUAAUGGCCCACCAAGACUAUUACAGGUACGGGCUCUGAGAGGAGUAGCCCGGAGAUGGGUACUGAGACACGGACCCAGGCCCUAUGGGGCGCAGCAGGCGAG
rnacentral:rRNA from 1 species